rnacentral:rRNA from 1 species
GGACUACACGGGUAUCUAAUCCUGUUUGAUCCCCUUGCUUUCGCGCUUUAGCGUCAGGUAUAAGCUAGAAAACCGCCUUCGCCACCGGUGUUCUUCCACAUAUCUACGCAUUUCACCGCUACUUGUGGAAUUCCGUUUUCUCCGCCUACCCUCUAGAAAUGUAGUUUCAAAUGCUGUUCCGAGGUUGAGCCCCGGGAUUUCACAUCUGACUGACAUCCCCGCCUACGCGCCCUUUACGCCCAAUAAAUCCGAUUAAUGCUUGCACCCUCCGUAUUACCGCGGCUGCUGGCAC